AAAAAAAAAAAAAAGUGGCCGAGGAGGACGGCGGGGAAAGCAGCAGCGUCGGUAAGGGGCUCACGGGGAGUCCCAGCCGCGCGCGGGGCAACGGGGGCGGUCAGCUCUGUGUGCGCCCCGCAGCGCUGCUCCGACACAGGGGGCGGCACCCACGGGUGCUCGGCGGGUUCCCGCACCAGGACUCCACGCUGGCAAGCCGCUACCGGGACUAAAACCGGCAAGGCCACCGCCGCCGCAUCCCGGGCAGCAUCCCCAGAUACGGCCCCAUUGUUCUACGGCCUCGUCGUCCUCCUUCGCACGCCCGGGGGCGCACACGCACACGCGACCCGCGGAGGGCACACGAGCGUGCAACCCGCGGCACGUCUAAGCGGGCUGCAGCUCGGAGGCGCGCGUCGGCGCCCUGCGGGGCAGCCCCGGACAGCCCCGGCGCAGCCUGCUUUCCCGCCUUCUCCGAGGCCAGGCGAGGCGAGGCGAGGCGAGGCGAGGCGAGGUCGGGACAAUCGGCCUCCCCCUCCCGCUCCUCGGCCUUCCCUGCCCGCGCUCUCCCGGCCUCGGCCGUGGCCGCUUCCCCAGCCUGUCGUCCCUCUGGGGUCGCGGCUUCGCCUUCUCCCUCUUGGCGCGACCGUCCCUUUGAUCCUUUCUUUCUCUACCUUAUUCCCAGAAGCUCCUGAAAAAUACCUCCUUUUUCUCUCCCCCUUUUCACGUCACUUCCCUCCCUUCGCCUCGACGAGCGCGCCUUCCCCGCUAGAGGCCAGCACUUUCUCAGUUUCGUCCCUCCAACCGGCGAGCAGAACUCGGAGAGAAAGAAGGAGGGAAAAAAAAAAAAAAAAAAAAAAAGAGGAGAAAGAGCGAGCGAGCGAGCGAGGAGGGGGGAGCCAAACAAAAAGCCCCACCAACCCCGAGGCCCGAGAGCGCGGAGGCCCGGGAGCGGCGUCGUCAUGGCAACGGGCGCCGGCAGGAAGCGAGGGACGCGCGGGAGGGGGCGGGGGAGGCCGCCGAGGGGAGGGGACGGGAGGGGAGGGGAGGGGAGGGGAGGGGNNNNNNNNNNNNNNNNNNNNNNNNNNNNNNNNNGGGGUCCGGCUGCCCCGGAAGCACCUCCCCGCAGCCCCCUCCUCCAGCCCGGCCCGCAGCCCCCGGCCUGCAGCCCCCACCCUCUCGGCCCGGCAGGAAGUGACAGGCCCCGAGCGAGCCCCGGAGGCCUGGCGGAGCCGCGGCCGGGCCCGCACCCGGAGCGGCGGGAGGGGCGGGGAGCGGCGGCCGCGCCGGGCCCCUCCCACCCCGCCCUCGGCGCCCCCGCCCCUCCAGGAAGGGGAGGAGGCGAGGGGAGCCCGCCGCGGAGGCCGAGCGAGCCCCCCGCCCAGCCCGGCGACUGGGGACCCCGGCACCUGA
rnacentral:lncRNA from 12 species